GAUGAACGCUGGCGGCGUGCCUAAUACAUGCAAGUCGAACGAAGGGAGGACGGGUGAGUAACAGGUAGUUACCCUUCGAUACGACUGGGUUAACUUCGGGAAACCGGAGCUAAAUCUGCUACUCAUAGGUGGUUCCGCGGUGAAUUAGCUAGUUGUUAAGGUAACGGCUUACAAAGGCAACGAUGCAUAGCCGACCUGAGAGGGUGAUCGGCCACACUGGGACUGAGACACGGUCCAGACUCCUACGGGAGGCAGCAGUAGGGAAUCUUCCGCAAUGGGCGAAAGCCUGACCGAGCAACGCCGCGUGAGUGAUGAAGGUCUUCGGAUCGUAAAACUCUGUUAUUAGGGAAGCGGUACCUAAUCAGAAAGCCACGGCUAACUACGUGCCAGCAGCCGCGGUAAUAC
rnacentral:rRNA from 1 species